UCAACCACAGUAACAGUAUAAAACGAUAAAUUCAAAUGCUUUCCUGCGAGAUUCGGACAUUCGAACACUUAUUCUCAAAAAAACAAUGGGACGUCGCUAACAAUUCACAUUAUAAACGAAAAGACCUUGGUUGCUAUUCGCGACCCAAUUUCUCUACAUUUGAGGGACUCCGAAGCGGUCCUUCUGGCUUUUUCGGAAUACCUAUUGUGUGCAGGGACUGUGCUGGCAUGACAACUGUGAUAGUUAGCGGGCCAUCGCACAUGUUCCCUCUUCUUACAAUACAAUGGAUAGAUGGACAUUCAAAGGUACAUGGACGGGACCCAUCGUUGCAAAUCUUUAACGGGCUUAACGGUGCGGCAAAGCUGUGCCAUGCUUCCCUUAUCGCAUGUUCACGGGAGGCAUGUACUCGGGCUACAGCUUGGGCCCGCUGGUUUCCGCUAGGGACUCUUGUCCAGGGGCUCAUACUCUGUCGACGCCCGAAAGAGGCGUGUCGAGAGGCUGGCCUUGGAGGAUCCGGGCUCGCUUUCAGCUUAAACGGAUACUGAAGGAAAAAAAUGAAUAUAGCUGCAUUAUUUUAUACAGCUGCUGCAGUACGAUAAAAGCCACUCUUGUCGCGAAAGGAGGCUAAAUAGGCCGAAUAAAGCCUCAAAUUUGAAAGAACGGUGGCGACGCCAACUUGCAGUUCUCGCACCAGCUCCUAGCCAUGACGUCAUGUAUUUUUACCACGUGUGCGCCGGCUUAAAUCAUGUUUAGUAGCAAAGAUAUACUACAUUGUG